rnacentral:rRNA from 1 species
AUGCCCGGAUCAUCGCUGUGGUUCCAGCGCAGCAGCCAUCCUGCGGCGACACAACGGCCUAUCAAGUACAACGAUCAAGGCAUAGUCGACAGCCUUACCGAAAAUAAUCUGACAAGUAUGUGGGCUAGCAGAAGGAUAGGGGAGGACGGCCAAUUGUAUGGAGUCCAUGUUCAGGGCACUGCUGGCAUCGGUCUCCCAACUACGGUGCUUGUCAAGAAGUUCCAGAACCUGAACCCAGCACUACUGGUGGAUGACAAUGUCAGGAACCGCUGCAAGUCGGAGAUGGUCCUAUUAGCCAGCAUCUGUCAUGACAACGUCAUCAAUGUCAUACACUUCAUCCAAAGGGAGGAAUCCAUCAUGCUCGUCUACGAGUACCCGGUGAACGGCAACGUUGACUAUUGGCUACACCGGCGGGAGGGGGGCGAGCAGCCGCUGAGUUGGCCACAAAGGAUGGGCAUUGCCAUUGGUGUGGCCCAAGGGCUCUGCCACUUGCACCACAAAUGCAACAGACCGACUGUCCACCACAACAUCAACUCUAACAAUAUCUUGCUUGAUCAGAAUUUCAAGGCCGUGAUAGCCAGCUUUGGCGCUGCGCAGAUGAACAUCGCCGGGCUUAACCAAACAUUGCCGAUCACGGAGAUUCCUGUUGGUAACUUUGGGUAUGUAGCUCCAGAGUAUGGUGUCGCAGCAAGCCAGCUGACAGAGAAGGCAGACAUUUACAGCUUCGGCGUGGUGCUGCUAGAGCUAGUCACAGGGAAGUUGGCAAAUGGAGCAGAUGGUCUAUUGGCGAUUUGGGCUCGGGACAACUGCAAUGAAUUGAUGGCAAACCAUCUGAAAAUGUUCAAGAUUGUCGUGGACAAGAGCAUCCCUGAUCAAGCACGGUACAUGGAAGAGAUGGCGACGGUGUUCAGGCUAGGUGUGGAUUGUACCGUUGGGGAUCCGAAGCAAAGGCCGUUCAUGCAGAUGGCUCUCAAACGACUCCGUCGCAGCCGUGGGCGUGGUCCAUUCCUUGGCCUCCUCAACCUAUACAUGGAUGUAGUCCAAGUGAAGGACAAAGUGGCAUGUGAGAUCAGCUCAGCGGAUGAACUGGCAUUGACAGAGCUUAUGUUCAGUGAUACUUUGAAGGAUGCUAUAGUAGAAAAAGAUGGUGGCUCUGCUUUCUUGCUUUUUUUGGCAACAAAAGCUUCAGGGUGCCCCAAAACCGUGGGGGUCAAAAGGACGUGA